rnacentral:rRNA from 1 species
GAUGAACGCUAGCGACAGGCUUAACACAUGCAAGUCGAGGGGCAGCGGUGGUGAAGGCUUGCCUUUACCAGCCGGCGACCGGCGCACGGGUGAGUAACACGUAUGCAACCUGCCUGCCACAGCCGGAUAAUCGGGAGAAAUCCCGUCUAAUACGGCAUAAUGCACCUAUGGGACAUCCUGUUGGUGCCAAAGGUUAAUUCCGGUGGCGGAUGGGCAUGCGUCGCAUUAGUUAGUUGGCGGUGUAACGGACCACCAAGACGACGAUGCGUAGGGGUUCUGAGAGGAAGGUCCCCCACAUUGGAACUGAGACACGGUCCAA